rnacentral:piRNA from 1 species
UGUUUUUCCGAUGCUCACUUCCACAGAAU